UGCGUAGGCGGCGCGGAAAGUUGGGUGUGAAAUCCCUCGGCUCAACCGAGGAAUUGCGCCCAAAACUUCCGUGCUCGAGGAAGAUAGAGGUGAGCGGAACUUAGGGUGGAGCGGUGAAAUGCGUUGAUAUCCUAAGGAACACCGGUGGCGAAAGCGGCUCACUGGGUCUUUUCUGACGCUGAGGCACGAAAGCUAGGGUAGCGAACG
rnacentral:rRNA from 1 species